UGCACGUAAUGAUGAAUAUUAUACGUGCA
rnacentral:sRNA from 1 species